rnacentral:rRNA from 1 species
GGGUUGUGAGGUUAAGCGACUAAGCGUACACGGUGGAUGCCCUGGCAGUCAGAGGCGAUGAAGGGCGUGCUAAUCUGCGAUAAGCGCCGGUAAGGUGAUAUGAACCGUUAUAACCGGCGAUACCCGAAUGGGGAAACCCAGUGUGUUUCGACACACUAUCAUUAACUGAAUCCAUAGGUUAAUGAGGCGAACCGGGGGAACUGAAACAUCUAAGUACCCCGAGGAAAAGAAAUCAACCGAGAUUCCCCCAGUAGCGGCGAGCGAACGGGGAGGAGCCCAGAGCCUGAAUCAGCAUGUGUGUUAGUGGAAGCGUCUGGAAAGGCGCGCGAUACAGGGUGACAGCCCCGUACACAAAAGCGCAUGUGCUGUGAGCUCGAUGAGUAGGGCGGGACACGUGGUAUCCUGUCUGAAUAUGGGGGGACCAUCCUCCAAGGCUAAAUACUCCUGACUGACCGAUAGUGAACCAGUACCGUGAGGGAAAGGCGAAAAGAACCCCGGCGAGGGGAGUGAAAAAGAACCUGAAACCGUGUACGUACAAGCAGUGGGAGCACAGGUUUACCUGUGUGACUGCGUACCUUUUGUAUAAUGGGUCAGCGACUUAUAUUCUGUAGCAAGGUUAACCGAAUAGGGGAGCCGGAGGGAAACCGAGUCUUAAUUGGGCGUUAAGUUGCAGGGUAUAGACCCGAAACCCGGUGAUCUAGCCAUGGGCAGGUUGAAGGUUGGGUAACACUAACUGGAGGACCGAACCGACUAAUGUUGAAAAAUUAGCGGAUGACCUGUGGCUGGGGGUGAAAGGCCAAUCAAACCGGGAGAUAGCUGGUUCUCCCCGAAAGCUAUUUAGGUAGCGCCUCGUGAAUUCAUCUCCGGGGGUAGAGCACUGUUUCGGCUAGGGGGCCAUCCCGGCUUACCAACCCGAUGCAAACUGCGAAUACCGGAGAAUGUUAUCACGGGAGACACACGGCGGGUGCUAACGUCCGUCGUGAAGAGGGAAACAACCCAGACCGCCAGCUAAGGUCCCAAAGUCAUGGUUAAGUGGGAAACGAUGUGGGAAGGCCCAGACAGCCAGGAUGUUGGCUUAGAAGCAGCCAUCAUUUAAAGAAAGCGUAAUAGCUCACUGGUCGAGUCGGCCUGCGCGGAAGAUGUAACGGGGCUAAACCAUGCACCGAAGCUGCGGCAGCGACACUAUGUGUUGUUGGGUAGGGGAGCGUUCUGUAAGCCUGUGAAGGUGGCCUGUGAGGGUUGCUGGAGGUAUCAGAAGUGCGAAUGCUGACAUAAGUAACGAUAAAGCGGGUGAAAAGCCCGCUCGCCGGAAGACCAAGGGUUCCUGUCCAACGUUAAUCGGGGCAGGGUGAGUCGACCCCUAAGGCGAGGCCGAAAGGCGUAGUCGAUGGGAAACGGGUUAAUAUUCCCGUACUUGGUGUUACUGCGAAGGGGGGACGGAGAAGGCUAUGUUGGCCGGGCGACGGUUGUCCCGGUUUAAGCGUGUAGGUGUGUGUUCCAGGUAAAUCCGGUUCACUUUAACACUGAGGCGUGACGACGAGGCACUACGGUGCUGAAGCAACAAAUGCCCUGCUUCCAGGAAAAGCCUCUAAGCAUCAGGUAACAUCAAAUCGUACCCCAAACCGACACAGGUGGUCAGGUAGAGAAUACCAAGGCGCUUGAGAGAACUCGGGUGAAGGAACUAGGCAAAAUGGUGCCGUAACUUCGGGAGAAGGCACGCUGACACGUAGGUGAAGUGAUUUACUCAUGGAGCUGAAGUCAGUCGAAGAUACCAGCUGGCUGCAACUGUUUAUUAAAAACACAGCACUGUGCAAACACGAAAGUGGACGUAUACGGUGUGACGCCUGCCCGGUGCCGGAAGGUUAAUUGAUGGGGUCAGCGCAAGCGAAGCUCCUGAUCGAAGCCCCGGUAAACGGCGGCCGUAACUAUAACGGUCCUAAGGUAGCGAAAUUCCUUGUCGGGUAAGUUCCGACCUGCACGAAUGGCGUAAUGAUGGCCAGGCUGUCUCCACCCGAGACUCAGUGAAAUUGAACUCGCUGUGAAGAUGCAGUGUACCCGCGGCAAGACGGAAAGACCCCGUGAACCUUUACUAUAGCUUGACACUGAACAUUGAGCCUUGAUGUGUAGGAUAGGUGGGAGGCUUUGAAGUGUGGACGCCAGUCUGCAUGGAGCCGGCCUUGAAAUACCACCCUUUAAUGUUUGAUGUUCUAACGUGGACCCGUGAUCCGGGUUGCGGACAGUGUCUGGUGGGUAGUUUGACUGGGGCGGUCUCCUCCUAAAGAGUAACGGAGGAGCACGAAGGUUGGCUAAUCCUGGUCGGACAUCAGGAGGUUAGUGCAAUGGCAUAAGCCAGCUUGACUGCGAGCGUGACGGCGCGAGCAGGUGCGAAAGCAGGUCAUAGUGAUCCGGUGGUUCUGAAUGGAAGGGCCAUCGCUCAACGGAUAAAAGGUACUCCGGGGAUAACAGGCUGAUACCGCCCAAGAGUUCAUAUCGACGGCGGUGUUUGGCACCUCGAUGUCGGCUCAUCACAUCCUGGGGCUGAAGUAGGUCCCAAGGGUAUGGCUGUUCGCCAUUUAAAGUGGUACGCGAGCUGGGUUUAGAACGUCGUGAGACAGUUCGGUCCCUAUCUGCCGUGGGCGCUGGAGAACUGAGGGGGGCUGCUCCUAGUACGAGAGGACCGGAGUGGACGCAUCACUGGUGUUCGGGUUGUCAUGCCAAUGGCACUGCCCGGUAGCUAAAUGCGGAAGAGAUAAGUGCUGAAAGCAUCUAAGCACGAAACUUGCCCCGAGAUGAGUUCUCCCUGAGACUUAGAGUCUCCUGAAGGAACGUUGAAGACGACGACGUUGAUAGGCCGGGUGUGUAAGCGCAGCGAUGCGUUGAGCUAACCGGUACUAAUGAACCGUGAGGCUUAACCUUACAACGCCGAAG